rnacentral:rRNA from 1 species
CUGGCUCAGGAUGAACGCUAGCUACAGGCUUAACACAUGCAAGUCGAGGGGUAGCAGGGUAGCAAUACCGCUGACGACCGGCGCACGGGUGAGUAACACGUAUCCAACCUUCCCAUAACUCGGGGAUAGCCUUUCGAAAGAAAGAUUAAUACCCGAUAGUACUUUAUUAAGGCAUCUUAAGAAAGUUAAAGAUUUAUUGGUUAUGGAUGGGGAUGCGUUCCAUUAGAUAGUUGGUGAGGUAACGGCUCACCAAGUCUUCGAUGGAUAGGGGUUCUGAGAGGAAGGUCCCCACAUUGGUACUGAGACACGGACCAAACUCCUACGGGAGGCAGCAGUGAGGAAUAUUGGUCAAUGGGCGAGAGCCUGAACCAGCCAAGUAGCGUGAAGGAUGAAGGUCCUAUGGAUUGUAAACUUCUUUUAUAGUAGAAUAAAGUGAUCCACGUGUGGAUUUUUGUAUGUAUACUAUGAAUAAGGAUCGGCUAACUCCGUGCCAGCAGCGGC